GUCUGCGGCCAUGCCACCCUGAACACUCCAGAUCUUGUCUGACCUGGGAAGCUAAGCGCAGUUGGACCUGGUUAGUACUUGGAUGAGGCACCAGCUGGGAAGACCAGGUGCUGCAGGCA
rnacentral:rRNA from 1 species